rnacentral:rRNA from 1 species
CCUACGGGGGGCAGCAGUGGGGAAUAUUGCACAAUGGGCGAAAGCCUGAUGCAGCAACGCCGCGUGAGGGAUGACGGCCUUCGGGUUGUAAACCUCUUUUAGUAGGGAAGCGGUACCUGCAGAAAAAGCACCGGCUAACUACGUGCCAGCAGCCGCGGUAAUACGUAGGGUGCAAGCGUUGUCCGGAAUUAUUGGGCGUAAAGAGCUCGUAGGCGGCUUGUCGCGUCUGCCGUGAAAACCCAGGGCUCAACCCUGGGCGUGCGGUGGGUACGGGCAGGCUAGAGUGCGGUAGGGGAGAUUGGAAUUCCUGGUGUAGCGGUGGAAUGCGCAGAUAUCAGGAGGAACACCGAUGGCGAAGGCAGAUCUCUGGGCGUACUGACGCUGAGGAGCGAAAGCAUGGGGAGCGAACAGGAUUAGAUACCCUUGUAGUC